rnacentral:lncRNA from 1 species
UUUUUCUCUGUGUGUAUAUUUAUAUAGGUAUAUACACAUAAUUAUAAAAUAUACAUCUUUAUGAAUAUAAAAUUAGAAUCUUGGUACAUAUAGUUUUGUAUAUUAUUUUUUCCCUUCAUGGAAAAAUAAGCGUCUUCCCAUAUUAUUAAAUUCUCUUGGAAAGCAUGAUGUUAAAGUUUGUGUAAUCAUCUAGCAUAUGGACAUCCAGUGAUUGAACAAUUCCUUCUUUUGGGUGCAUUUUACCUCUUCCACAUCAAGCACUAGGAGGAUAAAAAUGAGCCUCCUGUACACAUGCUUUCCAGGUCGCAGUCAUGGAGGAAGAUGGACAUCCCUGUAAAUGACCACCCAGUAUGAGAGCUACCACUAAGAGGAUGCAAUGGUGGCAUGAAAGCACAGGGAAGAAGAACCCUGGUUGGUUUGGGGAGCUCAAACUUCAAAUCUCACUACUUAACCUUGGAAUUAAAAGAUGAGAAUGAAGAGCAGAGACUGCAUUUUGUUCACUUAAUCUGGAUCUUUUAUAACAUGCCAAGAAUGGAUUGAAAUAUAUCAAGUGCUCCCACUAUACAGCCACCAACCUGAAACUGGGUUCUUGGUGUGUCAGUUACAACAGCAGGUGUAACACUGAACUACAUACGUAGAUGUAUAAAGAUUUCCAAGUAGAUUUUGCCUUCUACUCAGCACUGCACGACCAAAUGUGUAAUGGUUAAUAACGUACAGUUGACACUGUGAUGAGCACCCCAGUGUCCAUUCUACCCCAGACGACUAGUCCUAUCCACUCACCCCACUCAGGUCCCGCAGGCCUCAGCUGGUCCAAGGAUGGACACGAGUCUCUGCUUGGCCCAAACAGACUGAAGAGAAAGAAUCAUACUGUGUGAUUGGCCAGGAGAUUUUCUUCUCUCUCCCAUUCAAUGUGAAAAAGGAAUCAUGAUGCUUCAAUUUACAUAAAGCCACCAGGAAAACUAGCUCCCAGGAGAUCACAGUGCAGAGACUGAAAGCUUUUGGGUGCCUGAUGACAUUGCUGAGUUUCUUAAUCACUGAAAUACGAAGGCUACACUACCUCUUGUCUUCCUUUUAUGUGAGAGAAUAAACGUCUUUUUUGUUUAAGCCA